rnacentral:rRNA from 1 species
GACGAACGCUGGCGGCGUGCUUAACACAUGCAAGUCGAACGGAAAGGCCCUGCUUUUGUGGGGUGCUCGAGCGGCGAACGGGUGAGUAACACGUGAGUAACCUGCCCUUGACUUUGGGAUAACUUCAGGAAACUGGGGCUAAUACCGGGUAGGAGCUCCUGCUGCAUGGUGGGGGUUGGAAAGUUUCGGCGGUUGGGGAUGGACUCGCGGCUUAUCAGCUUGUUGGUGGGGUAGUGGCUUACCAAGGCUUUGACGGGUAGCCGGCCUGAGAGGGUGACCGGCCACAUUGGGACUGAGAUACGGCCCAGACUCCUACGGGAGGCAGCAGUGGGGAAUAUUGCACAAUGGGCGGAAGCCUGAUGCAGCAACGCCGCGUGCGGGAUGACGGCCUUCGGGUUGUAAACCGCUUUCGCCUGUGACGAAGCGUGAGUGACGGUAAUGGGUAAAGAAGCACCGGCUAACUACGUG